UACGUAGGUGGCAAGCGUUGUCCGGAAUUAUUGGGCGUAAAGCGCGCGCAGGCGGUUUGCUAAGUCCAUCUUAAAAGUGCGGGGCUUAACCCCGUGAUGGGAUGGAAACUGGCAGACUGGAGUAUCGGAGAGGAAAGCGGAAUUCCUAGUGUAGCGGUGAAAUGCGUAGAGAUUAGGAAGAACACCGGUGGCGAAGGCGGCUUUCUGGACGACAACUGACGCUGAGGCGCGAAAGCGUGGGGAGCAAACAGG
rnacentral:rRNA from 2 species